rnacentral:lncRNA from 1 species
AUUUAUUAGAGCAAAGAGACGAUGUCGUGAACCUCGAGUAGCGGCUGGCCGACGAUGGAACUCUUAUUUCAUUUCGGUAGACACCAAAUUCAAUGAGCUCCGUGUUAUACCAAAAGGAAACGAGUGUUCUUGGCUCGGAAUUAGGCUAAAAUAGAGGUUUAGUGGUGGGGCUGUGGUGGUCGCGGCAGUGGGGGUGGCUGGACGGUGGUGGUGCGGCUUUUUGGGGGUGAGAUUGGUGAUGUUGUGUCAUGAAAUCAGGUAGAGGAGAGUAAGAGGAGAGCGGGGUGUAAAAAAUUUGGAGUUUGGGGAUGGUGAGCGGCGUCUAGGGUUUCGUUCUAGGCUACAUCUACGGAUUUGGAGAGGGUUUUGAAGGUUUUGGGGUGUAGAAUAGGUAAGAGGAGAGUGAGGAGAGCACGGUGAUGCAAAAUUUGUGGUGUUUGGAUGGCGUCCGACCGGUGGUGGCGAUUUCCGGCCAGCGAAGGUGGGCGGUGGACGGAGAGGGGUAGAGAGAAGAGAGAGUGUGAAGAG